UUAUUUUAGAAGACUUGAAUGGACUGCUAAGGGCUUUCACACAGAAAGACUUGGAAGUCAAACUCAAGAAAUACAGAGGAAAAAACAAAUGCAGAACUAUAACAGACCCUGAGAAACUUUUCUCUGAUGGAAAUGACUCCUGGCAACAAUGACAUUCUGACACCAUGCUUGAUGCACCCUCUUUGGGAAGUCUGAAUUCCACGUCACAAUGGCUGUGUUCAGAUUACCGGUUUCAUCUUGCCUAGUCGGGCUUCCCUGGUGGCGCAGUGGUUGAGAAUCUGCCUGCUAAUGCAGGGGACACGGGUUCGAGCCCUGGUCUGGGAAGAUCCCACAUGCCACGGAGCAGCUGGGCCCGUGAGCCACAACUACUGAGCCUGCGCGUCUGGAGCCUGUGCCCCGCAACGGGAGGGGCCGCGAUAGUGAAAGGCCCGCGCACCGCGAUGAAGAGCGGUCCCCGCACCGCGAUGAAGA